rnacentral:rRNA from 1 species
GACGAACGCUGGCGGCGUGCUUAACACAUGCAAGUCGAACGGAAAGGCCCUGCUUUUGUGGGGUGCUCGAGUGGCGAACGGGUGAGUAACACGUGAGUAACCUGCCCUUGACUUUGGGAUAACUUCAGGAAACUGGGGCUAAUACCGGAUAGGAGCUCCUGCUGCAUGGUGGGGGUUGGAAAGUUUCGGCGGUUGGGGAUGGACUCGCGGCUUAUCAGCUUGUUGGUGGGGUAGUGGCUUACCAAGGCUUUGACGGGUAGCCGGCCUGAGAGGGUGACCGGCCACAUUGGGACUGAGAUACGGCCCAGACUCCUACGGGAGGCAGCAGUGGGGAAUCUUGCACAAUGGGCGGAAGCCUGAUGCAGCAGCGCCGCGUGCGGGAUGACGGCCUUCGGGUUGUAAAACGCUUUCGCCUGUGACGAAGCGUGAGUGACGGUAAUGGGUAAAGAAGCACCGGCUAACUACGUG